rnacentral:lncRNA from 1 species
AUGGUUUGUGUUUCUGAGCAUGUGUUUGAGUGGGAUGAGAUCCUGUUUCCGAAAUUAACGACAGGAAUGGACAAGACUGCAGUUUCCAAGAGGCGCCAGCAGGUGGCACUGUUCCCAUUUCAAGCUAAUCGCAGUAUAGGUAGAUGCCGCGCGGAGAAACGAGUCCAGGACAUCCUGUGUCCCAUCCCUUGGAGCAUCUCCGCUGCUCAAGGUUCGGCUAUUACUCAGCAGAAGGGCACUGCUGGUCUGGAAAAGAAACUUUAG